CACCAGCGGCCCGAGUGGUAACCGCUUUUAUUGGGUCUAAAGGGUCUGUAGCCGGCCAAGUAAGUCCUUUGGGAAAUCUGGUAGCUCAACUAUCAGGCUGCCAGGGGAUACUGCUUGGCUUGGGACCGGGAGAGGUGAGAGGUACCUCGGGGGUAGGGGUGAAAUCUUGUGAUCCUCGAGGGACCACCAGUGGCGAAGGCGUCUCACCAGAACGGGUCCGACGGUAAGAGACGAAAGCUAGGGGCACGAACCGGAUUAGAUACCCGGGUAGUCCUAGCCGUAAACGAUGCUCGCUAGGUGUCGGUCACGGUGCGACCGUGAUUGGUGCCGUAGGGAAGCCGUGAAGCGAGCCACCUGGGAAGUAUGGCCGCAAGGCUGAAACUUAAAGGAAUUGGCGGGGAGCACUACAACGGGUGGAGCCUGCGGUUC
rnacentral:rRNA from 1 species